UGAGGCGUGAUGACGAGGCACUGCGGUGCUGAAGCAACAAAUGCCCUGCUUCCAGGAAAAGCCUCUAAGCAUCAGGUAACAUCAAAUCGUACCCCAAACCGACACAGGUGGUCAGGUAGAGAAUACCAAGGCGCUUGAGAGAACUCGGGUGAAGGAACUAGGCAAAAUGGUGCCGUAACUUCGGGAGAAGGCACGCUGAUAUGUAGGUGAAGUCCCUCGCGGAUGGAGCUGAAAUCAGUCGAAGAUACCAGCUGGCUGCAACUGUUUAUUAAAAACACAGCACUGUGCAAACACGAAAGUGGACGUAUACGGUGUGACGCCUGCCCGGUGCCGGAAGGUUAAUUGAUGGGGUUAGCGCAAGCGAAGCUCUUGAUCGAAGCCCCGGUAAACGGCGGCCGUAACUAUAACGGUCCUAAGGUAGCGAAAUUCCUUGUCGGGUAAGUUCCGACCUGCACGAAUGGCGUAAUGAUGGCCAGGCUGUCUCCACCCGAGACUCAGUGAAAUUGAACUCGCUGUGAAGAUGCAGUGUACCCGCGGCAAGACGGAAAGACCCCGUGAACCUUUACUAUAGCUUGACACUGAACAUUGAGCCUUGAUGUGUAGGAUAGGUGGGAGGCUUUGAAGUGUGGACGCCAGUCUGCAUGGAGCCGACCUUGAAAUACCACCCUUUAAUGUUUGAUGUUCUAACGUUGACCCGUAAUCCGGGUUGCGGACAGUGUCUGGUGGGUAGUUUGACUGGGGCGGUCUCCUCCUAAAGAGUAACGGAGGAGCACGAAGGUUGGCUAAUCCUGGUCGGACAUCAGGAGGUUAGUGCAAUGGCAUAAGCCAGCUUGACUGCGAGCGUGACGGCGCGAGCAGGUGCGAAAGCAGGUCAUAGUGAUCCGGUGGUUCUGAAUGGAAGGGCCAUCGCUCAACGGAUAAAAGGUACUCCGGGGAUAACAGGCUGAUACCGCCCAAGAGUUCAUAUCGACGGCGGUGUUUGGCACCUCGAUGUCGGCUCAUCACAUCCUGGGGCUGAAGUAGGUCCCAAGGGUAUGGCUGUUCGCCAUUUAAAGUGGUACGCGAGCUGGGUUUAGAACGUCGUGAGACAGUUCGGUCCCUAUCUGCCGUGGGCGCUGGAGAACUGAGGGGGGCUGCUCCUAGUACGAGAGGACCGGAGUGGACGCAUCACUGGUGUUCGGGUUGUCAUGCCAAUGGCACUGCCCGGUAGCUAAAUGCGGAAGAGAUAAGUGCUGAAAGCAUCUAAGCACGAAACUUGCCCCGAGAUGAGUUCUCCCUGACUCCUUGAGAGUCCUGAAGGAACGUUGAAGACGACGACGUUGAUAGGCCGGGUGUGUAAGCGCAGCGAUGCGUUGAGCUAACCGGUACUAAUGAACCGUGAGG
rnacentral:rRNA from 1 species